rnacentral:rRNA from 1 species
AUUGAACGCUGGCGGCAGGCCUAACACAUGCAAGUCGAACGAGUGGCGGACGGGUGAGUAAUGUCUGGGAAACUGCCUUAUGGAGGGGGAUAACUACUGGAAACGGUAGCUAAUACCGCAUACCCUCGGAUGUGCCCAGAUGGGAUUAGCUAGUAGGUGGGGUAACGGCUCACCUAGGCGACGAUCACUAGCUGGUCUGAGAGGAUGACCAGCCACACGGGAACUGAGACACGGUCCAGACUCCUACGGGAGGCAGCAGUGGGGAAUAUUGCACAAUGGGCGCAAGCCUGAUGCAGCCAUGUCGCGUGUAUGAAGAAGGCCUUCGGGUUGUAAAGUACUUUCAGCGGGGAGGCGUUACCCGCAGAAGAAGCACCGGCUAACUCCGUGCCAGCCGCCGCGGUAAUUC